CUUCCAAGAGCAUUUUUGGCACUUCAGUUCCGUCUGGGUCUUCUUCCUUACAGGGAUGCAGCGCAAGAAGUUUGCAAUCCAUCAAGGCCACAGCAACUGAAAUGCCUCCUACUGUCCUGAAAUCUCGCAGUGAUGGGAGGACAAAGGUUGGAAUCAAUGGUUUUGGUCGCAUUGGAAGAUUGGUUUUGCGAAUUGCAACUAUGAGAGAUGAUAUUGAUGUUGUGGCAGUUAAUGAUCCUUUCAUUGAUACUAAGUACAUGGCUUACAUGUUCAAAUAUGAUUCCACUCAUGGAGUUUACAAAGGAUCCAUCAAGGUUUUGGAUGAGUCCACCUUGGAAAUCAAUGGGAAACAAAUCAAAGU
rnacentral:misc_RNA from 1 species